GACGAACGCUGGCGGCGUGCUUAACACAUGCAAGUCGAACGGAAAGGCCCUGCUUUUGUGGGGUGCUCGAGUGGCGAACGGGUGAGUAACACGUGAGUAACCUGCCCUUGACUUUGGGAUAACUUCAGGAAACUGGGGCUAAUACCGGAUAGGAGCUCCUGCUGCAUGGUGGGGGUUGGAAAGUUUCGGCGGUUGGGGAUGGACUCGCGGCUUAUCAGCUUGUUGGUGGGGUAGUGGCUUACCAAGGCUUUGGCGGGUAGCCGGCCUGAGAGGGUGACCGGCCCCAUUGGGACUGAGCUAAGGCACAGACUCCUACGGGAGGCAGCAGUGGGGAAUAUUGCACAAUGGGCGGAAGCCUGAUGCAGCAACGCCGCGUGCGGGAUGACGGCCUUCGGGUUGUAAACCGCUUUCGCCUGUGACGAAGCGUGAGUGACGGUAAUGGGUAAAGAAGCACCGGCUAACUACGUG
rnacentral:rRNA from 1 species